rnacentral:misc_RNA from 1 species
GGCUUCUGAUCGCGGUCUCUUUCAAAAUCAGCACCGCAUUCUUGAUCAAGAGAGUGGCGCGGUAAAGUUUAUCAGCCUCUCAAUCUCUAAUAGACUUAGGGGAACACCUUCAAUUAGAAAGGAAGACUUUAGCCUUAAAAAUACCGAUGCCUUAAGACAUGCAUGAACCUCUCCCACCAAGCAGCAACAAUUUCUAAACCCAAGAAACCUGCAAAACCAACACAACUUCAACACACCAGCUCUCUUGGAAACCGAUCUCUUGC